UAAAUCUAUUUAAAAGCAAUAAACGGAUGCCUUGGGUAAAAAAGAGGAAGAAGGACGUAGCUGGCUGCGAAAAGUCUUGAUGAGAUGCCAACAAUCGCUUGGAGUCAAGAAUAUCCGAAUGGGGCAACCUAUUCUCUAUAAGAGAAUACAAAGUUGACAAUACUCGGUGAAGUGAAAUAUCUCAGUAACCGAAGGAAAAGAAAUCGUAAUGAGAUUCCCUUAGUAGUGACGAGCGAACAGGGAAGAGCCCAAACUCUAUUAGUGUAAGCUUCUAGGCGUUGCUAAUAAGAGGGUUGAAGGACUAUUUGUGAAGAGCUAGAAAUCUUCGAAUGGAGAGAUGUUAUAUUAGGAGAAGUGCUUGGAUGGCACACCAUAGGAGGUUAAAGUCCCGUAUCUGAAAAUAUGACACCACAUUAAAUAGCACCUGAGUAAUGUCGAACACGAGAAAUUCGGCAUGAAUCUGCCCAGACCACUGGGUAAGGCUAAAUACUUUUUUACACCGAUAGCGCAGAGUACCGUGAGGGAACGGUGAAAAGAACCCCAGGUAGGGGAGUGAAAUAGAACCUGAAAUUUAUUGCUUACAAUUGAGUGGGAGCCUUUGGGUGACCACGUACCUAUUGACGAAUGGGUCAGCGAGUUAUUGGUAGUAGCAAGGUUAAGGCAGUUAUAGCUGGAGCCGUAGCGAAAGCGAGUCUGAAUAGGGCGAAUAGUUAUUAUCAAUAGACCCGAAGCGGUAUGAGCUAGACAUGGGCAGGUUGAAGGCAUAGGAAACUAUGCUGGAGGACCGAACGGGUUGGUGCUGCAAAACCUUCCGAUGACCUGUGUUUAGGAGUGAAAAGCUCAUCGAAUACCGUGAUAGCUGGUUCUCUCCGAAAUGCAUUUAGGUGCAGCCUGUAUUUGAAGGUCUUGAAGAGGUAGAGCUCUGGAAAGGCUAGGGGGAUCGAGAGAUCUUACCAAACCUUACUAAACUUCGAAUGCUUCAAGGAAUAAUACAGAGUGGGACUAUGGGAGCAAGUUUCAUAGUCGAAAGGAUAACAGUCCAGACUUCUGAUUAAGGUCCCUAAAGUAAUGCUAAGUGGAAAAAGAGGUGUCUUUGCUUAUACAUCCAGGAGGUUUGCCUAGAAGCAGCAAUCCUUUAAAGAAAGCGUAAUAGCUCACUGGACUAGCGAAGAUGCGCUGAAGAUGUAACGGGGCUAAGCAUUAUACCGAAAUCGAAGACCAGUGUAGAAAUACACUGUGUGGUAGGAGAGUGUUCUUACAGGAUGAAGCUACACUGUGAGGUGUGGUCGACUAGUAAGAAGUAAAAAUGCUGACAUGAGUAACGCUUAUUGAUGAAAAUUCAAUAUAUCGAAACCCUAAGGAUUCCUACGCAACGUUCAUCGUCGUAGGGUUAGUCGGGACCUAAGGCGCAUCCUGAAGAGGAUGGUCGAUGGAUAACUGGUUAAUAUUCCAGUACUUAUUUAUAGAGUGAUGGGGUGACGCAUCGAGAUUUGUAAGAGCUUAUUAAGGAUUUGAGUCGAAAGAGUGAGGUUUUUAUGACGUUAGUCGUAAAGGUAGUUGCAGGAAAAUCCACAACUAUUGAUACUAAGCUUGAUCGGGAUUUAACUCCUCGGAGUUAGAAAUUCUUAUCGUUUUGGUGCCGAGAAAAACCUCUAAACUUAAUCUAUAGAUAACCCGUACCCAGAUCAGACACUUGUGGGGUGGUAGAGAAUACUAAGAUAAUCGAGAUAACUAAUGGGUAAGGAACUUGGCAAAUUAGCGGACGUACUUUCGAAAUAAGUCCUGUCUCCAGUAAUGGAGAUCGCAGCGAAAGAGAUGGGGGGAACUGUUUAUCAAAAACACAGCUCGCUGCUAACUCGUAAGAGGAUGUAUAGCGGGUGAUGCCUGUCCAAUGCCAGAAUGUUAUGCUCUCUUGUGCAAGCUCGAGGGUUAAGCACUGGUGAAUGACGGCCGUAACUAUGACGGUCCUAAGGUAGCGAAAUUCCUUGUCAGGUAAGUUCUGACGCGCAUGAAUGGCAUAAUCAUCCCCAUGCUGUCUUACCCUUAGACUCGGUGAAAUUACAAUCCCGGUAAAAAUGCCGGGUAGU
rnacentral:rRNA from 1 species